ACAGGAUUAGAUACCCUGGUAGUCCACGCCGUAAACGAUGAGUACUAAGUGUCGGGGUUCAUCCCUCGGUACUGAAGUCAACACAUUAAGUACUCCGCCUGAGUAGUACGUACGCAAGUAUGAAACUUAAAGGAAUUGACGGGAUCCCGCACAAGCGGUGGAUCAUGUUGUUUAAUUCGAAGAUACACGAAAAACCUUACCAGGUCUUGACAUACUCUGCAAAGCUAUAGAAAUAUAGUGGAGGUUAUCAGGGAUACAGGUGGUGCAUGGUUGUCGUCAGCUCGUGUCGUGAGAUGUUAGGUUAAGUCCUAAAACGAGCGCAACCCUUGUCGUUAGUUGCCAGCAUGUAAUGAUGGGGAUUUUAACGAGACUGCCAGUGAAAAAAUUGGAGGAAGGUGAGGAUUACGUCAAAUCAUCAUGCCCCUUAUGAUCUGGGCUACAAACG
rnacentral:rRNA from 1 species